rnacentral:rRNA from 1 species
UACAGAGGGGGCAAUCGUUAUUCGGAAUUAUUGGGCGUAAAGGGCGCGUAGGCGGCCUGGCAAGUGGAAGGUGAAAUCCCUCGGCUUAACCGAGGAACUGCCUUCCAAACUGCUUGGCUUGAGUCCGGGAGAGGUGAGUGGAAUUCCCAGUGUAGCGGUGAAAUGCGUAGAUAUUGGGAGGAACACCAGUGGCGAAGGCGGCUCACUGGACCGGAACUGACGCUGAUGCGCGAAAGCGUGGGGAGCAAACGGG